GCACUGUUGAGUCAGCCUUGUGUCCUUGUGAUGGUCUAAGGGAAGAGGUGAAAGAAAGUACUCAUCAUGGAGUGACAUUUUUUACUAAACCAAGAGGUAUAGCUGAAAAAAAGAUGUUGGCCGCGGCCAGGGCCAAGUCACGGGGCAGGCAGGAUGUGCUGCUUCUGCGGAGGUACAGGCAUGCGGAUAAAUGACACGGAUUUCUGCAGCUUCGCCGGGCUCUGGCAGGUGUUACUCAGAUAAAGCCCAAGCAGAGAUUAUGCAGCAGAUUUGACCACACAGAGGCUUCACAAAUGCUUGAGGUCCAGAUGCAAGUUGCACCUGAUGCAAAUGAAGGAAAGCUCUGAUGAACAGCAGAGACAGAGAGCAAACAUAUUUUUUAAACAUAUACACCUUGAAGUAAUAAUGUGAGAAGUAUCUUCUACUAAUCCAGGGAGAGAUUGUGUGUGAAUUUGCCACAGGAAAUGCAGUGAGGAGUACCCUUUCUUCCAGGUUAAUGCCAGCCUAAUGGAUGGUUGUUUGGUUUUGAUAUUUUUUCACCUGUUUAUGUACCUUGGCAUGUGCUCUGAGCCUGGAGCUGGGCUGCAUUUUCCACCUGCUAGAAGGGGUGCAUAUCCAUGUGCACAGCAAGUCAGUUCAGGGAAAUUUCAUUAAUGUUUGCUUUAGGAAACAACUUUAUUCUUCUCAGCAAUUUUUAUACAGAUCUGAGGGCCUUUUGCCAGCCCUCAUUUCCAGAUGGCUUAAAAGCCAUGUUCUGUGCUAAAUAACUGUAUUUAAUUUCUCUGUGUAAGUAUGAGACAAGAGGUCAAAGAAAGAAAUGACAUCAGUGUGAGCAACCUGCUUGGUCAGGGGGAGCUCAGAGACAUGGGCAGGGAAAGUAUCCUCUGGGAAAUGAAGAAAUGAGCAUGGGGAUGCACAUACACACCUUCAUCCAUGCUUACAAUCCCCCUAGACCUUUCAGCAGCCUGGCAAACUGUUUUUAUGUAUCUUCUACAGCCCAGAAAGCGUCCAGGUAGUACUUGGAGAUACCCAGAACUGCAUAUGGCAUUGAAACAAAGCUUGAGCAUGAUGACAUUUUUCUGGGCUACAGGACUCGGUUGGGUUUAAGUGUACCUGUGAGUGCAUCACACCAGUGAUACAUCACAUGUUCAAGCAACCCAGCAUUACUUUUGUUCCAAAGGACCCCUAAAAGUGAUGGAGAAGUGAGGAGAUGAGCUAGACACAGAGAAUGGCACUCCUAAUGCCUGCUGUAACACACUGGCCUCUUGGCCAUGCUAACAUUUUCAAUAUGCUUACAAGUUUCCCAUAUAUAGUGUAUUUCCCAGCAUUUGAGCCUUGCUGAGGCAUCACUGCCUUCCCUUGGAGCAAUACAAGGCAUUAGUGAAGUUUCUGUGCUGAACUGUGGGAAUAGAGGAGCAAGAAGCUCUGACCCCUUGGCAAGAGCAUGCUUUGGAAACACCAUCAUCAAAAAAUGAACACAUCAGCCCAGAAGGCCCACAGACAGCUGAUCCUCUCCAGCCUUAUCAGAGACAGAGCUGCUGUGGAUGCUGAGGCAGCAGCCACCGGACAUUUUUGAGAUGUUUAUUCUAUCCUGUGUUGAUAUGAAGUCAAUACGAUAACUAAAAAUAAAGAUUAAGAAAAAAAAAUACACAGCAGCUAUUUGUUCCUGAAUUGUUAUGUUUACCCAUACCAGCCCAGAUUUCCAUUUAGGCAGGCCUGUAGUCCCAGAUGUUCAGUCAUUUUCAGCAACACGGUCAUAUCCCAGAAGAUUUAGCCUGCUGGAGCAACUAUAUUAAACAUGCCUGUAAUUUUCCACUGUAACUGGAAGAUUGCAUUCCUCAGAGGCGAGCAAUCGCUGACUGGACAGGCCCCGUGCACAUGCAGGCAGCACAGCCCUGAGUCCUCUGCAGCCUCUCACCAGGGCAGGAGGGCACAGCACUUCUGUAGCCCAACAAGGCUAGGUCUGGGAUGAGGAAGCUCCCAUCAGCAGCACUCCCUAGGAGAGGUGGGCAUGCAGCUGGAGAUCCCUGGCCAGUUGCUGCUGCAGGGAUGGAUGUGGCUGGGCCUGCAGGUGCCUUCUCUGCUGACCCUCCUGGCACUCAGAGCUGUAGGCUUUUUGCAUCACCUCUGUUGAGGUGAUCCAAAGAGAAAAAUGGUCUUUAACAGAAUAAAAACAGAUGUUUCACCCUAACCACCUCCUGCUUCCUAAUGAAUGGGCUGGGCAGAGGCUCCCAUCACAAGGUCCUGCACAGCUGGGGAGUCUCACCCUGCUUCCAGGCACUGGUGUAAGGCCACUUCUCUGAGGAAGGAUGGGGCAUGUC